CUCCCACUUGCUGGUGCACUCCCCUACUAUCUUCUCUUCGCGUCUUUGGGUCAGCAUGCCCUCAUUCCUCGAGGAUGGAUUCUCUUGCUAUUUUCUAAAUAAAAUAGAGCUGUAACACUGAUUUGUCUUAAGAGCUAUAACAUGGUCUGUCCAAGACCUGAGAGCUGUGACGCACCAAGGGCUUUAAUGUCUGUCACUCCAAAUCUUUGUUGUGAUGAAACAGAACCGAGGAGCAUACACUCGCCUGACAUCUGUGGUGCUGUGACUCGAAUUUAGCCUGGCUGAAACAGCCUCAGUGCAGCCCUGGCAAGGAGGAGGCCAAGCACAGCAGUAGCCCAACUCAGCGAAAGCUCCCACAGUAGAAGCAGAAUGUGAAGAAAACCCAGAGCAAGGGAAGUGGAAAGAGGCCUAUCAUGCUGGAAACCUGGACAGCGAAAAGCAAUUUCAGCAGAAAGCUCACAUAGCUCAGUGUCAGAUUCCAGAAGACCUCAGGUUAAGAACCUCCAGUCUUAUACCAUGGCCACUGGGCAAUUCCAACAGGAUAUACGCUUGUAGGGUAUGAACCAGGAACCAAAAGAUUCUAAGGAGUCACCACUAUAUGCUUCAGGGACUCAAGUCCUAAUUAAAGUCUGGAAAGAUGGGUCCCCAAAGGCUCAACUCCAGCCCACAUGGAAGGGCCCCUACCCUGUGAUACUUUCUACCCCCACAGCAGUCAAGGUACCAGGACAUGGCUCCUGGAUUCACUACUCAUGAGUCAAGCCGUGGAAGAAAACAGAAGAGGACACUCCAUACACCUGCCAACAAGUUACAACAUGCAGUGCCAAUUCAAUAAAGAUAUAAAAC